AGUGAACGCUGGCGGUAGGCCUAACACAUGCAAGUCGUACGGCUGCACAGUAAGUGCUUGCUCUUACGGGUGUCGAGUGGCGUACGUGUGCGGUAUACAUCGGUAUCUACUUUUUCUUGUGGGAUAACGUAGGGACACUUACGCUAUUACCGCAUACGACCUACGGGUGUAAUCAGGGGUUCUUCGUCCCUUGCGCGAUUGUAUGAGCCGAUGUCGGAUUAGCUAGUUGGCGGGUUAAAGGCCCACCAAGGCGACGAUCCGUAGCUGGUCUGAGAGGAUGAUCAGCCACACUGGAACUGAGACACGGUCCAGACUCCUACGGGAGGCAGCAGUGGGGAAUAUUGGACAAUGGGCGAAAGCAUGAUCCAGCAAUACCGCGUGGGUGAAGAAGGCCUUCGGGUUGUAAAGCCCUUUUGUUGGGAAAGAAAAGCAGGAGGUUAAUACCCCGCUGUUCUGACGGUACCCAAAGAAUAAGCACCGGCUAACUUCGUG
rnacentral:rRNA from 1 species